rnacentral:rRNA from 1 species
UCAAGUUAUUAAGGGUGCAGGGCGGAUGCCUUGGCACUAGGAGCCGAUGAAGGACGUGAUAAGCUGCGAUAAGCUUCGGGGAGUUGCACGUAAACUUUGAUCCGAAGAUUUCCGAAUGAGGAAACUCACUUAGAGUAAUGUCUAAGUAUCAUUAAGUGAAUACAUAGCUUAAUGAGGGGAACUCAGGGAACUGAAACAUCUAAGUACCUGAAGGAAGAGAAAGAAAUUCGAUUCCGUAAGUAGCGGCGAGCGAACGCGGAUUAGCCCAAACCAAUAAAGUUUUCUUUAUUGGGGUUGCGGACAUAUCAUAACGAAGAGGUAUCGUAAUUGAAGAGGUUUGGAAAGACCCACCACAGAAGGUAAUAGUCCUGUAUGUUAAACGAGAAGACUUUAGAUAUGAUCCAGAGUACCACGGGACACGUGAAACCCUGUGGGAAGCAGGAGGGACCACCCUCCAAGGCUAAAUACUACCUAGUGACCGAUAGCGUAUAGUACCGUGAGGGAAAGGUGAAAAGAACCCCGGGAGGGGAGUGAAAUAGAACCUGAAACCCUGCACUUACAAGCUGUGGAAGCACAUUUCUUGUGUGACCGCGUACUUUUUGUAGAACGGGCCAACGAGUUACGUUAAGUAGCAAGGUUAAGCACUUAAGGUGCGGAGCCGUAGCGAAAGCGAGUUUUAACUGAUCGUUCAGUUACUUGACGUAGACCCGAAACCGGGCGACCUACCCAUGAGCAGGAUGAAGCGAAAGUAAAAUUUCGUGGAGGUCCGAACCCACGAGCGUUGAAAAGCUCGGGGAUGACUUGUGGGUAGCGGUGAAAUUCCAAUCGAGCCCGGAGAUAGCUGGUUCUCCCCGAAAUAGCUUUAGGGCUAGCCUCAAGGUGAGAGAUACGGAGGUAGAGCACUGAAUGUCCUAGGGGGUAUUGCACCUACCGAAGACUAUCAAACUCCGAAUGCCGUCAUCUUAUACUUGGGAGUCAGACUGUGGGUGAUAAGAUUCAUAGUCGAAAGGGCAACAGCCCAGAUCGUCAGCUAAGGUCCCUAAAUGUAAGUUAAGUGGUAAAGGAUGUGGGAUUGCACAGACAACCAGGAUGUUGGCUUAGAAGCAGCCACUCAUUCAAAGAGUGCGUAAUAGCUCACUGGUCGAGUGAUCCUGCGCCGAAGAUUUCCGGGGCUAAAACUUACUACCGAAGCUACGGCAUCAGUAAUGAUGGGUAGGGGAGCUUCCCAUACGGGUUGAAGCAUGACCGUAAGGACAUGUGGACAGUAUGGGAGUGAGAAUGUUGGCAUGAGUAGCGAGAUGUGGGUGAGAAUCCCACAGGCCGUAAACCCAAGGUUUCCAGGGGAAGGUUCGUCCGCCCUGGGUUAGUCGGGACCUAAGCUGAGGCCGAAAGGCGUAGGUGAUGGACAACAGGUUGAUAUUCCUGUACUACCGAUAACCGUUUGAGAGAAGGGAUGACACAGUAGGAUAAGCUAAGCACACUGUUGGUUAUGUGUGCCCAAGCAUUGAGGCAGUCAAAGUAGGCAAAUCCGCUUUGAUAAUGCUGGGAUGUGAUGGGGAGCGAAAUUUAGUAGCGAAGUAGCUGAUUUCACACUGUCAAGAAAAGUCUCUAUCGAGGUUAAAGGUACCCGUACCGCAAACCGACACAGGUGGGUGAGGAGAGUAUCCUAAGGCCAGCGAGAGAACUGUUGUUAAGGAACUCGGCAAAAUGACCCCGUAACUUAGGGAUAAGGGGUGCCACCAUCAGGUGGCCGCAGAGAAUAGGCCCAAGCGACUGUUUACCAAAAACAUAGGUUUCUGCUAAGUCGCAAGACGAUGUAUAGGAGCUGACGCCUGCCCGGUGCUGGAAGGUUAAGGGGAUCUGUUAGAGCAAUCGAAGCAGUGAACUUAAGCCCCAGUAAACGGCGGCCGUAACUAUAACGGUCCUAAGGUAGCGAAAUUCCUUGUCGGGUAAGUUCCGACCCGCACGAAAGGCGUAACGAUUUGGGCACUGUCUCAACAACAGACUCGGUGAAAUUGUAAUUCCGGUGAAGAUGCCGGAUACCUGCGACAGGACGGAAAGACCCCAUGGAGCUUUACUGUAGCUUGACAUUGGGUCUUGGUACUACAUGUACAGGAUAGGUGGGAGGCUUUGAAACCAGGACGCCAGUUUUGGCGGAGCCAUCCUUGGGAUACCACCCUUGUAGUACUGGGACUCUAACCAUAGGCCAUGAAUCUGGUCUUGGGACACUGUCAGGUGGGCAGUUUGACUGGGGCGGUCGCCUCCCAAAAGGUAACGGAGGCGCUCAAAGGUUCUCUCAGUACGGUCGGAAAUCGUACGUAGAGUGUAAAGGCAAAAGAGAGCUUGAUUGCAAGACAUACAGGUCGAGCAAGGAUGAAAAUCGGACUUAGUGAUCCGGUGGUUCUGCGUGGAAGGGCCAUCGCUCAACGGAUAAAAGCUACCCUGGGGAUAACAGGCUUAUCUCCCCCAAGAGUCCACAUCGACGGGGAGGUUUGGCACCUCGAUGUCGGCUCAUCACAUCCUGGGGCUGUAGUAGGUCCCAAGGGUUGGGCUGUUCGCCCAUUAAAGUGGUACGCGAGCUGGGUUCAGAACGUCGUGAGACAGUUCGGUCCCUAUCCGUCGCAGGCGUAGGAAAUUUGAGAAGACCUGUCCUUAGUACGAGAGGACCGGGAUGGACGUACCUCUGGUGUACCAGUUGUCCUGCCAAGGGCAUGGCUGGGUAGCUAUGUACGGAAUGGAUAAGCGCUGAAAGCAUCUAAGCGCGAAGCCAACUUCAAGAUAAGAUUUCCCACCGCAAGGGUAAGACCCCAGAAAGACUAUCUGGUUGAUAGGUCGAAGGUGUAAGUGCAGCAAUGUAUUUAGCUUAUCGAUACUAAUAGGUCGAGGACUUGACCAA